rnacentral:rRNA from 1 species
UACGUAGGGGGCAAGCGUUGUCCGGAAUCAUUGGGCGUAAAGAGCGUGUAGGCGGCCCGAUAAGUCCGCUGUGAAAGUCCAGGGCUCAACCCUGGAAUGCCGGUGGAUACUGUCGGGCUCGAAUCCGGAAGAGGUAAGUGGAAUUCCUGGUGUAGCGGUGAAAUGCGCAGAUAUCAGGAGGAACACCAAUGGCGAAGGCAGCUCACUGGGACGGUACUGACGCUGAGACGCGAAAGCGUGGGGAGCGAACAGG